CCUACGGGUGGCUGCAGUGAGGAAUAUUGGUCAAUGGGCGUAAGCCUGAACCAGCCAAGUCGCGUGAGGGAUGAAGGUUCUAUGGAUCGUAAACCUCUUUUAUAAGGGAAUAAAGUGCGGGACGUGUCCCUUUUUGUAUGUACUUUAUGAAUAAGGAUCGGCUAACUCCGUGCCAGCAGCCGCGGUAAUACGGAGGAUCCGAGCGUUAUCCGGAUUUAUUGGGUUUAAAGGGUGCGUAGGCGGAUCGUUAAGUCAGUGGUAAAAUUUGGGGGCUCAACCCCUUCCCGCCAUUGAAACUGGCGUUCUUGAGUGGAAGUGAGGUAUGCGGAAUGCGUGGUGUAGCGGUGAAAUGCAUAGAUAUCACGCAGAACCCCGAUUGCGAAGGCAGCAUGCCGACUUCCGACUGACGCUGAAGCACGAAAGCGUGGGGAUCGAACAGGAUUAGAUACCCGAGUAGUC
rnacentral:rRNA from 1 species